UGCAGUGCAAACAAGGGAUUUUGCAGCUCCUGCAUGUGUCCAGUUUGUAUGAAUUUUGACUGUGCUAAUAACACUUGCAGUUGGGUUGGGUGUGAUGUUUGUUCCCAUUGGUGUCAUGCUGCUUGUGGUAUUAAAAAAAAUCUCAUUAGUCCAGGUCCUAGCUUGAAGGGGCCAAAAGGGACUACAGAGAUGCAAUUUCACUGCAUUGGCUGUAAUCAUGCUUCAGAAAUGUUUGGCUUUGUCAAGCUAGGGUUUGUGUGCUGUGCAAAGGAUUGGGGUCUAGAAACCCUAACAAAAGAACUCGACUGUGUGAGGAAGAUUUUCAAGGGAAGUUAUGAUUUUAAAGGCAAGGAAUUGCAUAUUAAGGCUGAGGCGUUGCUCUCCAAGCUUGAGAGUAAAAUUCUCUCUCCUUCGGAUGCCUGUAACAUCAUCAUUCAGUUCUUCAACUAUGCAGAUGGUAUUUCCGAUUUUCCUGCUUCUGGUGUAUCUGCUAAAGAAUUGAUGCCAACUGAAGUUAGUCUUAGAAAAGAUGAUGCACCUAUACUGCCAUCCACUUCUCUCCCUCAAAAAUAUGCCCUCUACAAUAUGAGCUCUUCAAGUGGCCGGCGUGAUUCACGAUCAAACGAUAUCCACCAAAAUGAACUCAGAGCUGCACUCCUUGGUGACUUAAAAAUCAAUGAUGAGUUCCAGUUUGGAAAGCUAUCAAAGAAGGAUGGUCUCGGUAGCUUAGAAAGCAUUGUACGGAUUAAAGAAGCAGAAGCCAGAAUGUUCCAGAGCAAGGCAGAUGAAGCACGAAGAGACGCAGAAAGCUACCUGCAGAUGAUUCGGGCGAGGUCUGAGAAGUU
rnacentral:misc_RNA from 1 species